rnacentral:pre_miRNA from 1 species
GAAGAGAUUAUAAAUGUUGACAGAAGAGAGAGAGCACAACCCGAGAAAUGGUCAAAGAAUCUUUUACCUUUGUUGGGAGUGUGCUCUCUACUCUUCUGUCAUCAUCUUUAUCUUUA